rnacentral:rRNA from 2 species
AGUCAAGUAAGUAAGGGCGUACGGCGGAUGCCUUGGCCAUAUCAGCCGAUGAAGGACGCGAUAAGCUGCGAUAAGCUGCGGUGAGGUGCAAGUAACCUUUGACCCGCAGAUCUCCGAAUGGGGAAACCCGGCGUGAGUAGUCACGUCAUCUUCUAUGAAGAUGGGUACCCGGUGAACUGAAACAUCUAAGUAGCCGGAGGAAAAGGAAUCAACAGAGAUACCCCUAGUAGCGGCGAGCGAACGGGGCAGAGCCCAAACCGGAUUGGGAAACCAGUCCGGGGUUGCGGACUGCUAACAAGUGCAGGCGUGAAGCAGAACCGGUUGGGAAACCGGGCCAGAGAGAGUGAGAGCCUCGUAAGCGCAAGCAAAUGCAUGGAGCAGGAUCCAGAGUACCACGAGACACGAGAAACCUUGUGGGAAGCAGGGGGGACCACCCUCCAAGGCGAAACACUGAUAUGGACCGAUAGCGAAUAGUACCGUGAGGGAACGGUGAAAAGAACCCCGGGAGGGGAAUGAAAGAGAACCUGAAACCGUAUGUCUACAAGCAGUCGAAGCGCUUUAUAUGCGCGACGGCGUGCCUAUUGAAGAAUGAACCGGCGAGUUGCUGGUGCUAGCGAGGUUAAGCAGAAAAUGCGGAGCCGCAGCGAAAGCGAGUCUGAACAGGGCGUAUAGUUAGUAACAGCAGACCCGAAACCACAGUGAUCUACCCAUGUCCAGGUUGAAGCACAGGUAAAAAUGUGUGGAGGACCGAACCAGUGAGCGUUGAAAAGCUUUUGGAUGAGAUGUGGGUAGGGGUGAAAUGCCAAUCGAACGUGGAGAUAGCUGGUUCUCCCCGAAAUAGCUUUAGGGCUAGCCUCAUGGCGAGAGUACAGGCGGUAGAGCACUGAACAGGGUAGGGGCCUAUCCGGCUACUGAACCUAAUCAAACUACGAAUGGCUGUACUUAUCCAUGGGAGUCAGACUGUGAGUAAUAAGGCCCAUAGUCAAGAGGGAAACAGCCCAGACCAACAGCUAAGGUCCCCAAUGCCGUACUAAGUGGCGAAGGAUGUGGAAUUUCAAAAACAACCAGGAUGUUGGCUCAGAAGCAGCCACCAUUAAAAGAGUGCGUAAUAGCUCACUGGUCGAGAGACUCUGCGCCGAAGAUGUCCGGGGCUAAAGUACGGAACCGAAGCUUUGGCAAUUAACUU